AAGGCCCAAGACAGUCCAUCCCUCAUUCCGAAUCCUCUCACCCUCCUUGCGGGCGAUGCUAACCCUAGAGCCGCCGGCGGCCGCCGCCACUUCGCCUGCCAGCGGCUCCGACCAUGACUUCCAGCUUCUCCCACCAUCAGCGCCCCUUCCCCAGAAGGUCUCCUCCUUGGCCCUCGGAUUAAUCUCCCGCUCCCGCUCCCGCCGGGUCCCUCAUGAAUCGUGAAACGGCGCGAGCGGGUCCGCGGUGAAGGCACCGAGGCUGCAUCCACUGCCGUGCAUGCCGCCCGGUGCAGGAUCCUCAGGGACGUGGAGGAGCAUGGUGGAGUACAACGGCAAGGGUGGGGUGGAAGGAGACGCCCUGAGCAUUUUUUUUUGGACGCCGUGAGCAUGGAAUGACCUUACUGCUCCAUCUCCAACAUAACUCCAGCUGCUAUUGCCAGUUUGGUCUUCUCUUCUACAUUGAUCCGUUUAGAUCCCAACUAAUCAAGAGAUAUGAGGACAGGGAGGAUGAAGGAGCCGCAGUUGUAAGUGCUACGGCGGGCGAGCAGGGAUGCAACUGGAGAUUGGUCAGAGACUGCAACAUAUUGUUAGCUUCAUGAGGUUGGGAGCAACUGGAUCUAGACCUCCCCGCAACUGACUAGAAAAGUGUUGACGAUGUUCUCUGAACUCUGAUCUCUCUCCCAUGUUUUCAGACAACAAUGAUCAGUAGUCCUUGGCACAAUUUUACUUCUCUAUUUGCAGUCUAAAAGCUUGGGGAAAAAAUGGGGGCCAUGAAUACCCGCAUUGCUCUCAUAUCAUGUCCAUGAAUGAAAAAGGGUACAUAGUGCCAUCAUUGUUCAUCCUCUACCUUUGUUGCGAGCGUUGUCUGAAUCAACUUAAAAUUAGCUGACAAAAAGGCUUCAUGUCUAGUUUUUCACCAGCCUUCACCUCUGUGCAGUUUUCUUGGCAUGGGAUCUGGAGGUCUAGAAUAGGAUGCUUAUAUAUAUUACCAACUUUUGUUUAUGUUUCUGUGAGCCAUGAGUGGAUGCACGCGAUGGGUGGUCUAGCACAGAACUGAUUUGCUACUUCAUGAUGAGCAGGAAAUGAUUUGCUGCUUCGUGAUGAGAAGAUUGAGUGGACAGAUGAUCCGCAGGAUGUUCAAGGUUGAGGUUACUGUGGUUUGUGAUUCGGUCAUGUCCCGAGAUUGAGAACGGCUAGCUGCACAAAGGAAUCAGGUGUGGAGUUAAUGGGUGACGAUCAUCAGUAGAAGUUUUACUAAAAUAUUGUCACACUUACAACCUAUAGUUUACUAAAGCUAACACUGUCAUAUCAGAAAAAAAAUACAGUUUAAUGUAAAAGCACUGUUGGAGACACGCAUGUUCCAGUUUAGUGUAAAUGAUAUGUUUGUGCAGGCAACACUCUUUUAAGUGGAAA